UACGAAGGGGGCUAGCGUUGCUCGGAAUUACUGGGCGUAAAGCGCACGUAGGCGGCUCUUUAAGUCGGGGUGAAAUCCUGGAGCUCAACUCCAGAACUGCCUUCGAUACUGAAGAGCUCGAGUCCGGGAGAGGUGAGUGGAACUGCGAGUGUAGAGGUGAAAUUCGUAGAUAUUCGCAAGAACACCAGUGGCGAAGGCGGCUCACUGGCCCGGUACUGACGCUGAGGUGCGAAAGCGUGGGGAGCAAACAGG
rnacentral:rRNA from 1 species